GGGGAAGUACUCAAGAGGCUGAAGAGGACGGUUUGCUAAAUCGUUAGACCGGGAGACCGGUGCGGGGGUUCGAAUCCCUUCUUCUCCG
rnacentral:tRNA from 1 species